rnacentral:rRNA from 1 species
UACGUAGGGGGCAAGCGUUGUCCGGAUUUAUUGGGCGUAAAGAGCUCGUAGGCGGCUGCUCAAGUCGAAUGUGAAAACUCGAGGCUCAACCUCGAGCCUGCAUUCGAUACUGGGCGGCUAGAGUCUGGUAGGGGGAUCUGGAAUUCCUGGUGUAGCGGUGAAAUGCGUAGAUAUCGAGAGGAACACCUGCGGCGAAGGCGGGUUGCUGGGCUGACACUGACGCUGAGGCGCGAAAGCUAGGGGAGCGAACGGG